AAAAAUAAGCAGCCCAGCAAAAAUUAGGCCAACAAAACAUACACAAAAUAAGCAACCCACCGACCAAAAAGACCCGGUCCGACCCAACAAACAAAAGGCAAAGCCUGAAAUAUACUCAGUUCCUCAAGAUACUUGACCAUACCAGACAGUCAAACACCCUAAGGAAAAGCACCUCAGCCAUACCCAAGCUCCUAGCCCCAGGAAAGCACCUGUUCUAUGUUUGUCUUUUACCUAGAGCCUCUUUCUGAAAGGAAAAUUCUCUUUUUGAGUAGUCAAAAUGAGACAAUUUACAUUAUAUUAGUCUGUUCAAGUAUUCCUCUUGAGGUCCAGGUCCUUCAACCAGUUUGUUUCAAUAUAAUUAUUGUUAGAACUUAUAGCUUGAGAUGAAUCAGCAACUGGGACCCAGUAGUGUCUAGAACUAGCUGCUGAAAUGCCAAGCUAUUCUAGAAGCCCACCUAAGGCUCCCACUGAGAGAGGGAGUACAUGGUUUUAUAUCCAAUGGUUUGUAAAACAGAGGUUGAUGGAGCCUCUGGUUUUACAGUUCCUUAACCAUGAAGGAAGGCCCCUCUCUAGGCGGUUCGGGCUCUACAAAUAGAACCCCAUACACACACACACACUAGCCAUCCAUCGGUUGAGAGCAACCGUAACUAGAGAUAAGAGUCCCCAUUGUACUCUGUUUUUCAGAUUUUGCAGUUCAGCAAGGAGCAAAGUGUUCUCCGGUUCGUUUUCUUACAGAGAAGAGAGAGAAAAAAUAACAAAACUGCAAGAGGUGUUUCUGGUCUCUAAUGUCGGAAUAGAGCCAUGGAUGCCAACUUCACAUCAACAGCUCAAGGUACCCAUUGUUGUCUCUGUGUCACAUGAAGCUGUAUGCUUAUACAAUUGAAAGAGGGUAAUUGCAUCCAAGGGAAAGGAAGUAACAAAUUUGAAAGUGCACCUACUUUUCUUCUACUGCUUGUGUGAGAUUGUAGCUGGUGUAGUUGGCAGAUUGCUUGGUCUUGGAGGAGGCUUCAUCCUGGGACCCCUUUUUCUUGAACUAGGGAUUCCUCCUCAGGUCUCCUGCUUUCUGUUGGUGGCUUCCUUUCCUUCAUGCUAACUGAAAGCAUUGCUACCAUUAGGUUUGGGGUUAUUCUUGGGGGUUCUCUUUUAGCCUUAAGUAUAUCAUGUUUAAGGUCGUGGAAAAAGGGAGAAUAAUUUACUCUGGCUUUGAAGGGGCAAGCAGCAAGAGGUACUGUAUUAUGAUUUGGCAAGAUUAGCCAAAUUGGUCACAGAGCUACAACUGUUUGUCAGUUGCACCGGCUUCUGUUUGUUAGUUACAGUCUACACCGGCUACAACUACUGGCGAUUGUAAUGGUACUAUAAAGCCUCGAGUAAGAACACGACGGAGCUAGGCCACAGAUCCAUUCCAUUCCAUAUCUGACAACUGAAACUGGUGAUACUGACUUUAUUUCUCUUGUUCCAUUUCAUAUAUGGCAAAAGUUCCAAAGAGAACUUUGUGCUUGAAUUGGAAUUAUAGUUGAUGCCUCUGGUCUCCAUUGGAAUUAUAAUAGAUGCCUCUACUAAAAGAAAACCUGCGGAUAGAAAGGAAGAUGCUCUGCAUUGUAAAAUACAAGAAAAUGCACAGAAGAUAAAAACAAGGAACAAGUAGUAGCCGUCUUGAAAGGAAAUCAAGCAAAUAUUCUAUAGCAAUGUGAUUUCUCCAUAGGUUUCUACCAGACAGUUGCAUGAAAAAAACAC